AACGCACCUUGCGCUCCUUGGUAUUCCGAGGAGCAUGCCUGUUUGAGUGUCAUGAAAUUCUCAACCUAUAAACUUUUGCGGGUUUGUAGGGUUGGCUAUUGGAGGCUUUUGCUGGCCCUCGUUUGAGUCAGCUCCUCUCAAAUGCAUUAGCUUGGUUCCUUGCGGAUCGGCUGUCGGUGUGAUAAUGUCUACGCCGCGACCGUGAAGCGUUUGGAGAGCUUCUAAUGGUCUCGUCAGAGACAGCUUUUAUGAACUCUGACCUCAAAUCAGGUAGGACUACCCGCUGAACUUAA
rnacentral:misc_RNA from 1 species